UACGUAGGGUGCAAGCGUUGUCCGGAAUCAUUGGGCGUAAAGAGCUCGUAGGCGGUCUGUCGCGUCGGCUGUGAAAUCCCGGGGCUCAACCCCGGCCUGCAGUCGAUACGGCAGACUAGAGUUCGGUAGGGGAGACUGGAAUUCCUGGUGUAGCGGUGAAAUGCGCAGAUAUCAGGAGGAACACCGGUGGCGAAGGCGGGUCUCUGGGCCGAUACUGACGCUGAGGAGCGAAAGCGUGGGGAGCGAACAGG
rnacentral:rRNA from 1 species